rnacentral:lncRNA from 1 species
GACAAGUGAAGCAUCAGAGGAGGCUGGCUUUUCUUACGUUAAUGGAUUGUCAUAUUAAGCUCUGCUUCUUGGCACCUCUCUGUCUAGAGCCUCCCAUCUUGGACCUGAUACUUUUUCCAGGAAAAACCUGUGUAAGAGGAGAGCUGCUUGAGAUGCCUUGAGAACAUGAAAAACAGCGUUCAACGCCUCUCAAGAUUAUUUUUUAGGAAAAAAAAAAAACCUUCAUUCUAAAAGAAAAAUCCCUUCUCUUCCCCUCAUCUUUCGUGCUCAAUCACCCUGAAAAAAAAGCACAGCCACCACAAUUCUGAAGCCUCGGCACCACGACCAGCGUUAAAACCCACCAAAAAUAGUGGCAAUAAGAGGUGCAGAUGGAGGAAGACAGUGAACAACCACUGCCGAUACCCACAUCAGAUCUCACCGUCAUGAAGUCUACCUCCCUCAGUGAUCGAUUAAAUGCGAUUUAGUUUCAUCAAAUUUGGGUUUCUUUUGAUUUAUGGGAGGUUCUUGAAAUGGGUUUAUGUUGGAUAAGUGGAUUUGAAGUAAUCUGGAGAGGGAGAGAUAGUAUUUAAAGAUUGUUUUAGGAUUUCAAGCUUGAAGAUUGCUUGAAGAUUUAAGUCAAAAGACCUGAAUCUUAGGUUUUAAAAACACUGCCAUCA